rnacentral:lncRNA from 1 species
CUACUUAGCUUAGUACCAGGGUGAUGAAAUAAUCUGUACAACAAUCCCCUGUGACCUGAGUUUACCUGUAUAACAAACCCUGCACAUGCACCUCCGAACCUAAAGUGAAAGUAAAAGAAAUUUAAAAAUAAAAAAGAACCCAAGCAGCCAAGCGACAGGCUCCCUUCAGGACAGAGAGGGAGGACAGAGGGUCUCGGGGCUCACCAGCCCCUGGAGGGACCUGGGAGAGGAGCCACCGCAAGCGCCACAGGUGGGGCCCUGGGCUUCCCGGCCCGGACAGGGCCGUCACUGCUGACACCACUGGCCUGCAAUACAUCCAAAGCCCAUGUGCUCUACUCCACACUCCAAAAAAGCCAUCCUGGUCACAGGGAUCCAAGGAUUCCAGUUCCUGGGACAGGAAUUCCUCCUUGAGUAGGACUCUCCCUUCUUCUAGUCCUACACUCAUUAAAAGACAACAGACACACAAAGGCCAAAAACAAUCCCCGCCCCCCCCAACAUACACAGGAACCCCAAGGGUCCAGCCAUCUUAGUGCAGCUUUCCUUCCCGGCCAGCGUGGCACGCCUCUGCCCUCUGCGUGGCCUGGCCAUGGCUGGUCAGAAAUUUCGCAGGCUAUCCCUCACUUGGAAUUUGUCUGUUUUUCUCAUGUUACGGGGUUUUUGGGAAAAGUGCCAUUUUCAUCCCACACUGCCCCACAGCAGGUUAUUCUGCAUGGGGGUGGGAGGGUAGGAGCGUGUAUGUCCACCCCCUCCCAAGCAUGAGGAGUGUGGCUGUUGGGAAGCAGAAGAAGGAGGAAAGCGGCCUCUCCAUCCACCUCCUAAUGAGCCCGGAAAGAACGGGCGUGGAUCCAACAUCCUCUGCGUCCAGCGGCCGGCACUGGCAGGAACUUAAAUGUUUGCUGAACUGAAACAAGGUCAAUAUUUCAAAGAAAUGCUGCCCACAACACACACCUGGGCACAUGAUCACCCUUCUGACCCCAAACCUCCCUCUAAAAACCUGCCCCUUACUAAAAAGUUCCCAGCUGAGACCAGCUGAUCUCAAGUAACAGGAAAUCCAGGUGUAAAUGCUCAGAACGAUAUUCUUCUAUUCAGACAUGAAGAGUGAGAUAAGACAGAUCUGGAUUCAAACGCCAG